rnacentral:rRNA from 1 species
GACGAACGCUGGCGGCGUGCCUAAUACAUGCAAGUCGAACGAGAGCGACCGGUGCUUGCACUGGUCAAUCUAGUGGCGAACGGGUGAGUAACACGUGGGUAACCUGCCCAUCAGAGGGGGAUAACAUCCGGAAACGGAUGCUAAAACCGCAUAGGUCUUCGAGCCGCAUGGCUUGAAGAGGAAAAGAGGCGCAAGCUUCUGCUGAUGGAUGGACCCGCGGUGCAUUAGCUAGUUGGUGAGGUAACGGCUCACCAAGGCCGUGAUGCAUAGCCGACCUGAGAGGGUGAUCGGCCACAUUGGGACUGAGACACGGCCCAAACUCCUACGGGAGGCAGCAGUAGGGAAUCUUCCGCAAUGGGCGCAAGUCUGACGGAGCAACGCCGCGUGAGUGAAGAAGGUUUUCGGAUCGUAAAACUCUGUUGUUAGAGAAGAACAAGUGCUAGAGUAACUGUUAGCGCCUUGACGGUAUCUAACCAGAAAGCCACGGCUAACUACGUG